GACGAACGCUGGCGGCGUGCUUAACACAUGCAAGUCGAACGGAAAGGCCCUGCUUUUGUGGGGUGCUCGAGUGGCGAACGGGUGAGUAACACGGGAGUAACCUGCCCUUGACUUUGGGAUAACUUCAGGAAACGGGGGCUAAUACCGGAUAGGAGCUCCUGCGGCAUGGGGGGGGUGGGAAAGUUUCGGCGGUUGGGGAUGGACUCGCGGCUUAUCAGCUUGUUGGUGGGGUAGUGGCUUACCAAGGCUUUGACGGGUAGCCGGCCUGAGAGGGUGACCGGCCACAUUGGGACUGAGAUACGGCCCAGACUCCUACGGGAGGCAGCAGUGGGGAAUAUUGCACAAUGGGCGGAAGCCUGAUGCAGCAACGCCGCGUGCGGGAUGACGGCCUUCGGGUUGUAAACCGCUUUCGCCUGUGACGAAGCGUGAGUGACGGUAAUGGGUAAAGAAGCACCGGCUAACUACGUG
rnacentral:rRNA from 1 species